CUACGGGCGGCACCAGUGAGGAAUAUUGCACAAUGGGGGGAACCCUGAUGCAGCAACGCCGCGUGGAGGAUGACGCAUUUCGGUGUGUAAACUCCUUUUAUAUGUCAAGAAAAUGACGGUAGCAUAUGAAUAAGCACCGGCUAACUCCGUGCCAGCAGCCGCGGUAAUACGGAGGGUGCAAGCGUUACUCGGAAUCAUUGGGCGUAAAGGACGCGUAGGCGGGUUGGAAAGUCAGGUGUGAAAUCCUACAGCUUAACUGUAGAACUGCACUUGAAACUUCUAAUCUAGAGUAUGGGAGGGGGAGACGGAAUUAGUGGUGUAGGGGUAAAAUCCGUAGAUAUCACUAGGAAUACCUAAAGCGAAGGCGAUCUCCUGGAACAUUACUGACGCUAAGGCGUGAAAGCGUGGGGAGCAAACAGGAUUAGAUACCCGAGUAGUC
rnacentral:rRNA from 1 species